rnacentral:rRNA from 1 species
AUUGAACGCUGGCGGCAUGCCAUACACAUGCAAGUCGAACGGCAGCACGGGUGCUUGCACCUGGUGGCGAGUGGCGAACGGGUGAGUAAUACAUCGGAACGUACCUUAUCGUGGGGGAUAACGCAGCGAAAGUUGCGCUAAUACCGCAUAAGCCCUGAGGGGGAAAGCGGGGGACCGUAAGGCCUCGCGCGAUUAGAGCGGCCGAUGUCUGAUUAGCUUGUUGGUGAGGUAAAAGCUCACCAAGGCGAUGAUCAGUAGCUGGUCUGAGAGGACGAUCAGCCACACUGGGACUGAGACACGGCCCAGACUCCUACGGGAGGCAGCAGUGGGGAAUUUUGGACAAUGGGGGCAACCCUGAUCCAGCAAUGCCGCGUGAGUGAAGAAGGCCUUCGGGUUGUAAAGCUCUUUUGUCAGGGGAGAAACAGCAGCUCUAACACAGUCUGCGAAUGACGGUACCUGAAGAAUAAGCACCGGCUAACUACGUGCCAGCCGCCGCCGUAA